CACUUAACUCUUUGUGCUACCUCAUACAUAUAUAUACUAGGAGGUUUUCCUCCUUAUUUGUACUUUAACGUUUUUUAGACUGUUAUGAAUACAUGUUCCUGGCAGUUAACUACAUGCUAAAGAACAGAAUAGGCACAUGUAACCCUCUCUCACCUUCUCCCUCCCCUCUUUCACAGAGAUGAAAUGAAAAGGAAUUAAUGAGGACAGAUUAUUGGAUUAGGGCCCAUACUCAGGGCUCUAACAGCAUGGGGAGUUUCUCCUGUCACUUCAGUUCUUGUUCAGGAAUUGGCACCUGCUUUUUGUGAAUCACAAAAACCAGUGCUUUAUAUCAAGCCAUUUAGAUUUGGGCUAUGGAGCAGUGACUUAAAAAAAUUAAAUUUUAUUUUCAGAGAUUUUUUCUAUUAAUUGUUUACAUUUAUUUUAAUUGUAUAUUCUGAAACCGCUACAAAAAGGCAUGAAAUAAUUGUUUAAAUUUUAAUUCGUAUGGGUCUAAAUGUAUGUUAAACUACCUAUCGUCGCCGUCACAGUCGUUGUUAUGUUUGAGCCGAUUGUUGUGGCCACUUGUUACCAAGUAUGACUUUCUUCUCCAGGGACCGAUCUUUCCUGACAACGUGUCCAAAAUAUGUGAGAUGAAGCCUCGUCAUUCUUGCUUCUAAGGAAUAUUCUGGCUGUACUUCUUUCAAGACAGAUUUGUUCAUUCUUUUGGCAGUCCGUGGUAUAUUCAAUAUUCUUUGCAAAUACCGUAAUUCAGUGCCUUCAAUUUUUCUUUAGUCUUCCUUAUUCAUUGCCCACCUUUCGUGUGCGUAUGAGGCGACUGAAAGCACCAUGGCUUGAGUCAGGUGCACAUUAGUUUUCAAGGUGACAUCUGUGCGUUUGAACACUUUAAGAGGCCUCUGGCAGCAGAUUUGCCCAAUGCAAUGUGUCGUUUGAUUUCUUGACUGCUGCUUCCAUGGGUGUUUAUUGUGGAUCCAAGUAAAAUGAAGCCCUUAGUGAUGUCAACAUUUUCUCCAUUGUCAUGAUGUUGCUUAUUGGUCCUGUUGUUAGGCUGUUGGUCUGUAGUCUUUGAUUUUCUUCAGUAAAUGCUUUAAGGCCUCUUCACUUUCAACAAGCGAGAUUGUAUCAUCUGCAUAUCUCAGGUUAUUAAUGAGUCUUCCUCCAAUCCUGACGCCUUAUUCUUCUUCAGACAGUCCAGCUUCUCGGAUUAUUUGCUCAGCAUACAGGUCGAAUAGGUAUGGUGAAAGGAUACAAUGGAGACGCAUACCUUUCUUGACUUUAAACCAUGCAGUAUUCCUUGUUCUAUUUAGAUGACUGCCUCUUUUUCUAUGUACAGGUUUCUCAUGAGAACAAUUAAGUGUCCUGGAAAUCUCAUUCUUUCCCAUGUUAUCCAUAAUUUGUUAUGAGCUGGAGUAGGUCUCAGAAAUAAUGUGCCAUUUCUUCCAGUUGGUUGUGCACGGCUGCCUACUUCCCUAGGUGGUAGCAGGUAAGGCCUGUCUCAGAAACACUCCCCUCCUCACUAAGCAUGAUUCUUCACACUGCUCCAUCUUCUUUCCCGUGUGUGUCUCCUGCCCUCCUCAGUGGCCGGGGAAAAUGAUAGUAGUCCACUAUGAGAUUUAUUCUUUUAUUAUACUUUAUUUUAUCAUUUGUUUUUAUAACAUAGUUCCGUUAAAAUCAAGGGUAAUAAAAAUGUUUGUGUGAUGGAAGUGGAUAAUCCCACCCAUUGUGUCCAUCUAAAGUUUCAUGAGAAAACUGUGCCCACAACAGAGGGCUCCCACUCCUCUGGCUCACUGUAUUUUCUCCUUGUUUAUUUGCUCUUCCCUCUUUCCUGAUGCAUGCAUGGGACCACUGAGCUUCAGGACUCCACAAUUCUCCUUUUCAUACCAGUGUUACUGUAAUCUUGGGUUCCUGGGCUGCCUUGCCACAGAUUUACUCAUUCUGUUUCUGUUAAUUAUUUCAUUACUUAAAAAUCUCUCAUGAAUUUUUCCAGAAGUACAUUCUAUUCCUCAAAAACUUGGAAGCAAUGGGAAAGUAUGCAAUAAAUAACAAGAAAACAUACGUAAUGCAUAGAAUAAAUUAUUAACGUUCCGAUAUGUCUGUUAUCUUACUUACAUUGGCAUGUAUGUGUAUUAGAGUCUCUGGUUGAUGCAAAUGGUUAAUAUCUUGAGCUGCUGACAGAAAGUUGGAGUUCAGGUCCACCCAGAAUUGCUGUGAAAGAGAGGUCUGGCAGCCUACUUCCGAAAACCCAAACACUGAAACCCCUAUGGAGUACAGUUCUACUCUGGCACCCUGGUGUCAUCAUGAAUCAGAACUGACUCAGUGGCAACUGGUUUUAUGUGUGUAUUAGCACACACAUUUAUGUAUAUUAACACAGAUAUUAUAUCCUGAUAUUUUCGUUCAUCAUUAGUCUUUUCUCAUGAUAAAUUUUUUUUGUUUUUUUUUAAUGAGGGCAUUAAAUUACUUUAUAAUAUUCUGUGUGCAUGUAGUAUAUGUUUUUUAACGAUUUGACUAUAGUUGCAAUAAUAAAUGUGCAUGUUUCUAGUAAUCUUCAACCUAUACUUACAUCUUUUUAACAUACAUCUCUGCCAUUAAAUCUCUUUGUUUAAUUAUUGUUUAACACUCUUUACGCCUAAGAGAUGGUCUCAGAAGCAGCCCUGAUCAGUUUUUCUCCCUCUUACUCAUGAAGCCCCUUAAUGUAUCCCAAGGUAUCAACUACGAAGGAUUUUACGUACUUAUCGUUUGUUUAUUUUUCUUUCAGUCAGUAUAUUCCAUGGGCCAGAAAUAGUCUAUGUUAUGCAGAUACAGUGGUGAAAGGUACACACUGUCCCUGUCCUCAUGAAGGGGACAACCCAGUGCAGGUGGGAGGAGCACUGGGGAAAUGCAGCUGAGAGCAAGGACAGACAACCCUCCAGGAACCACACUGGACUUCAGAGAGGCUUGUUGGCUGCUGUUCACCUGGCAGGCUUCUAGAUACCCGAGUACCCUUGGGCUUGGUGCCUGCUCCUCUCUCUAUUGACACCCUCCCUCUAGGAUGCCUCAGUGAGUUCACUGCUGUCUAUUUGUAGCUAAGGACCUGAGGUUUAUACCUCCAUCCAUUCAAACUCCUCCUGGGUCCAGACUCAUAUAUUGAAAUGUCAGCCUAACUCUCUGUAUUGACCUCUUUAUGCAUUAUAAUGAUACAUUCCUCAUAUGGCCAUCAUGAAAAGCAAACAUGAAAGGAAAAGCACAGGAGUGCCUGGCACCAGUGUAGGUACUCAAUGAACAUUAGCUGUUGGUAUUAUCCUUGACAUCCCCGUGUGGGGUGAAGUUUUAUUACCUGACAUCUCCAUGUGAAUAUCUAACACCUACACCAUGUUAUCUAGGCUAUGAAACAAUUCUUUGUUCCAGCCACUAUUCUUUUCUUAUCCAUGAAUUUCUCAAGGCUUCGGUGAUGGGAUUGUGUGUUUUUCCACACAAUGGAUGUGAUUAGGAAUGGUUGGCCAGGUCCUACACAAUAAAUUGCUCCAGCGUUCCUUUGGGUGACCAUUGAGACAAGUUUCAGCCAACGAAUGUAGCAAAGAAUUGGAACCACUCUGAGCUGUUCAUGCGAGUACUCUCAAUCCAGAAUAUCUGGUAAAUCGACUGUUAGGGAUUGAAUUGUGUCCCUCCAAAAUGUAUGUGGAAAUCCUAACCCCUGUACCUGUAAAUCUGACCUUGUUAGGAAAGAGGGGGCCUGCUUUUAUUAUGUGAAUGAGGUCAUACCAAUGUAGGGUGGGUCCUAAGCCUAACUCUUCUUAGUUAUAAAAGGAGCAGAAUACACACAGACACAAACAGGUGAAAAGGAAGACAGACAAAGAAGACAGAUGCUUCUAGAAGGCCAGGAACACAAAUGAUUGCUGGCAUCUACUAGAAGCUGAGGUAGACAAGGAAGGACCUCCCACUACAGCCAUGCCCUGAAUUCGAACGACUACCUGCUAAACUGUGAGAAAAUAAACUUCUGUUCUUUAAAGCCAUCCAGUUGUGUUAUUUUUUGUUAUGGAGGGACUAGGUAACUAACACACAUACCCGUUCUUAUAAGUUCAGCCCAGUGCAGAAUAAUUUUCUUCCCUCCUUGGUCUAGACCACCCGAACCUGCUCUUUCCCUAUCAGUGUCCUUUGCUUUCACCUAAGAGCUAUGACAGAGUCAGCUCGAUGGUGAUGCAUUGAAAUUUCAAUUUAUUUUUUAUUUAUGAUUACUAUUAAUUCCAGUAUUUUCUACAGUUUUCAAUGGAGACAGUCCUAUAAUCUAUGAAUAGCAGUUAUACUUUUUCUCUUUUUGUACUAGCUUACACUUCCAGUGUUCAAUGUUUAAUAAAAGUAAUGAUAGAAGCACCCUUAUUUUAUUGUUUAUUAAUUUUAAAGAGAAUGUCCCACACGUCACCAUGAACUAUCGUGCUAGUUGUAGUUUUCCAUGUUCGGGAACUCCUUUUCUGUUCCAUAUUUGCUCCUAGUCCUUAUCUCUCCGUGUGAUUGGAUUUUAUCAACCUGCUUUGCCCCCAUCUCUUGAGGUGAGCAUAUGUCUUCUCUUCUUUCACCUAUGCAUGUGGUGAAUGAAAUUACUAAAUCUUUAACGUUCACUCAAAUUUGUAUGCCUACAAUAAAACGCCUUGAUCAUGGCAUGUUACGUGGUUUAUCCUUUGUUGGAUUUCCUUUGCUGGCAUCUUACAUAGGGUUUUGCAUCUCAGUUACUGAGUGUGCUUGUCCUCUAACUCUUCUUCUACCAUCCUUCUCUAAUUUGUUAUCAUUUUUAAACUAGCCUUAAGGAUCAAGUUAGGGGAGUAUCUCAUGGUUUUCUAAUCUCUGUUGACUAUGUACAAGAUUAAAAUGACUGUUUCUUGCAUGUUUGCUGGAACCUGACUGGAAACGAUCUAGGUCUGCCGUUUUCUUUGUAGGGAGAUCUUGAACUACUGACCCAUUUUAUUUAGUGGUUAAAGGCAUCUUCUGGUGCUAAUUUACUUAGAAAAAAUUCUGAUGCAUGUUCUAGGUUGCUCGAAUCUCAUCUUCAAAUAUUGAUUAUCAGGGCUUGUAGCCUCAUGGAAGGCAAUUCAUCAAUCCCAGAUUUCCCCAAAGUCAGGCUCUGCAACUCUUCCCGGUACCAAAUUCCCUCAUUUAAGACUUAUUUGCAAAGAGACAACAGUAUGCUAUCUGCGCAGUUGUUUAUCCACAACCUUCUUGAGUCCAUAAUGUGAGGAUAUAGUCUUCUAAUGCUUUUUUUGUAAUUGUUCUCUUUCUUAUUUUUUUUUUUUCCUUUUUUCACUGCCAAUACCCCUGCCCCCCGCCAGUCUAGUAGUUUUAAAGUUGUGCGUUUCAGGUUCAAGUCUGUAAUCCAACUGAGCUUCUGUGUGUGCUGCAUGUGUGCAUCAAAAGAACACGCUUCUAGAAGCAGAAAGCAGGCAGUGCGACUGUUGGGUGGUUGGCGGGGGAGGGGGAGGGGAGCUGCUGCUCAGAGAGGGCGCCCGAGGGAGGCAGGAGAUGCCGGGCUGCCGGCCGCAAGCCUGCAGGCUCCAAGGAGGCGGAACCCGCGUGCGCCAUGAGCCUUUUGAGACAGGCCCAAGCCCACCCAGCCGGGUGCUAACCUCGCAUCCGCCAGGCUUGCAGGUUCCACCAGGACUAGGGGAAGCCUAAGGCCAAGGAGGGCAAGGUCUAGGGUCUGGACCUGAGAACUGGUUCUGCCACUUGUGAUCGCAGCGCUUAUGCUGGAAAGGAGGGCAGGAAGCAUAUCGCAACGUGUGUCCGGACGAUGACCCAGAAGGGGGGAGUUGUGGUCACCCACGGACUCUGGGUCUGCAUAUGGAGGCCCCCAGGGUGCAAUUCCAGGAGCAGAAGGCAAAGCCACAGAGGCCAAAGUGCACCUCGCCGAUGCUUCCCAGGGGCAUUUCCCCAAAUAUGGGGAGCAGUCCCUCCUCUGGGCUAGGGACUUUGUUUCCUCCAUUGUCAUCACUGACUGUGAGCAGACUCUAGUCUAUGCAGACUAAUGAGGAGUUAUCAAAAUGAGCUCCAAACUCCGGAUUUGAGUUAAGGAUCAUAAAUUAACACAGAGAAAUACGACUUUAGCAAUAAGUGACUGUUUGAAGCCCAAGUUGCCUUAAAACACGGAAUUUCAGUCUUUCAGCUCCUCUGCUAAUCUAGUGACUAAGAACAGGAUCUCACUGGAGCUCAAAGAUGUGGGGCACUGGGAAUACUCUGGGUCUGUCUGCUCACGGCUGAUUGCCUGAUCCCAGUUUUAUUAUACAGCUUAAAUACAGACCAGAAGAGGAGUUUGGGGCUUGACACCUGACAUCUUAACACCAGUUCCUGUUUCUUGAGGAAGGAAGAGGUAAAAUAAAUCAGCAUUUACUGUGUCCUUCUCCAUCCCCGGAAGUCUUCAUGAAGACCCUCUCAGCUUCUACUUGAACGUGAAUAUGAGCAACUGAUCAUCUGUUCUGCAGUCAGCCCCUGGCCUGAUUCUGACUCAUGGUAUUGACCUUCUCCAUCAUCACCUUCCACAAAUUUGAUUCCUAUCUAUUCUGCCUGGAAUGGUUCACGAGUAUAGUCACCAUUUAUGUUCCUGACGAAAGCAGGUGAAGGCAUUCGUGGAGAGAGGCGAUUUCCAUGCGUGCAGGAAAGUGUGUGCUGAGAUGAUGAGUCGCUGGAGACCGGGGUGGACUCUUCAGACCCAGGAUAGGCCUCUGGCAGGUAUGUGUCAAUGUUUUCUGCCCAUGGCACUCACCCGGGUAUUUGCAUAGAAUGUCGUCAGCGGAAUUAGUAGUCUCCGGAGAGGCUGCCACAUGUCAACAAGCUUCACCUGGCCAGAGUACACCCGUGAUGUAGCUCCCCAAUCAGUCACCUUCCCCCUUUGCUCUUUCGUCUCUAGGCACUCUAUCAGGCACUCCAAGCUGUGAAGUGACUCAGGGAGAGAAGGAAGAGAUUUCAGAGAAUGAACACAUACAGAGAGAGAGGCAAGAGAUGCUGAGUGAGGAUGUCUUGCGUACUGAUAUCCUGAGGAAAGUGGGAAAAUUGGACCCUGGCCUGCUCUGCCAAUGCCCUGAAGCAGUCCGCACCAGGGGCUCCCUUGUGCCUGCGUAGCCUUUCCCAGGGUGUGCUCAAAUCCUGUGGCCACUAGGUGUCCUAGGUCACAAUGGAGGACCCUGUGUCAUCUGCCUGGUGGACUGGAUCUCUGCCAUUGGCUGAGUCUUGUCACCAGGCCCAUCAUAAGCUCUGCCCACUCUUCCGGUGGGGAGACUCUCUCCAUGGUGAUGGCAAAGAAACCUUAGUCCCGCCCACCUGGCCUUGACUUCACCUACCUGGCCUGCUGACCCUCACUCAGACCUCUGUGUCGAUCAAAAUGAAUGUUCACCAGUUGCCCGGUGUCAGCAUCUGGUAUAAAGGAUUCGGGACCUUGCCUGAGGCAGAAGGCAGCCUAGGUCUGCGGGUACCUGGAAGUCUAGUGACUUGUGACGCUGCUGCCAGUGAGAAAUGGUGACUCCCAUACUCACAUAUCCCCUGGUGGCAGAAUGAUAGUGAUGGGUGGAGAAACAUGGUUCCGGAGCACACGUUCAGUCGGGCACCGGCCAAAUGCCACGGCCAGGAGUGGACGUUGUGGAGCUGCAUGGCGAGCCAGUGAAGGGCCCAAGGAUUUCUCCAAUGAGGCAAAAUGCAGAUCAAGCCAAGGAACAUAAAGAUAAAGCAGCUGAAGAAAUUAAAAAGGUUACUCAAGAACAUAGUUAAAAAUUUAAUAAGCUGCAAGAAACCAUAGAGAGACUGCAAUCAGAGAUUCAGAAGAUUAACAAUAAAAUUACAGAGUUAGAAAACUCAAUAGAAAGUAAGAAGAGCACAACUGAGGAAUUGGAAGGCAGAAUUACUGAGAUUGAAGGUGAAACUCUUGGGACUAAUAUAUUUGAAGAGAAAGCAGAUAAAAGAAAUUUAAAUGAAGAAAUCCAAAGAAUCAUAUGGGACUUUAUCAAGAGAAAUAACUAUGAGUGAUUUCAGUACCAGAACAGGGAGGGCUAACAGAAAAUACAAAGGGAACUGUUGAAGAUUUGUUGGCAGAAAACUUCCAUGAUAUCAUGAAAGAUGCUCAUCGAAUUCCACAUAAGGUAGAUCUCAAAAGAAAGUGACCGAGACACAUAAUAAUCAAACUUGCCAAAAUCAAAUAUAAAGAGAAUUUUAAGAGAGGCUAGGGAUAAAGGAAGUCACCAACAAAGGAGAGUAAAUAAUAAAAAACUUGGACUACUCAGCAGAAAUCAUGCAGGCAAGAAGGCAAAGGGAUGACUUACACAAAAUAUUGAAGGAAAAAAAUUGCCAGCCAGGAAUCAAACCAUAACCCUGGCCCUCUGGCCUUCUGGCCCUCUGGCCUUAGCCCUCUAACUCUAGCCCCUAAGCCCUGAGCCCCAAAGCCCCUAAGACCCUAAGCCCUUAGGUCCUAACCCCCAAGGCCCUAAACCCUAACCCUAACCCAAACCCUAACCCCUAUAGCCUAAACUCUACAACCUAAACACCUACACCCCAAAACACUACACAUCAAAACCCUACACACUAAACCCUAUACUCUAAGCCUCAAACCCUAAACCCAAACCUCAAAUUCCAAACCCUAAACCUAACCGUAAACCCUAAACCCUAACACCUAACCCUAACCCCUAACCACCCUAACCCUAAUGACCCUAACCCUAACCCUCGAACCCUAACCCUCUAACGCUAACAUGAAACCCUAAUCCGAAACCCUAACCCUCUAACUCUAACCUCUAACCCUCUAACCCUAGCCCUAAUCCUAACCCCAACCUCCAAACCUAACCCCAAACCCUAAACCUCAAAUCCCUAGCCCUAAACCUAAGAAUGAGCCUAAGCCUAACCCUAUCACUUAACUCUAAACCCUAAACCAUAACA